GAAAUAGUCCCUGAAACCAUAUGCUUACAAGAAGGUAGAGCCCGUUAAUGGGUAAUACCGUGCUUUUUGUAGAAAGAGCCGGCGAGUUACUAUUGCAUGCAAGGUUAAGUUGAUAUAAACGGAGCCGUAGUGAAAGCGAGCCUUAAUAGGGCGUUUAGUAUGCAGUAGUAGACACGAAACCAGGUGAUCUAGCCAUGAGCAGGUUGAAGUUAGGGUAAAACCUAAUGGAGGACCGAACCAGUAUUCGUUGAAAAG
rnacentral:rRNA from 1 species